rnacentral:rRNA from 1 species
GACGAACGCUGGCGGCGUGCUUAACACAUGCAAGUCGAACGGAAAGGCCCUGCUUUUGUGGGGUGCUCGAGUGGCGAACGGGUGAGUAACACGUGAGUAACCUGCCCUUGACUUUGGGAUAACUUCAGGAAACUGGGGAUAAUACCGGAUAGGAGCUCCUGCUGCAUGGUGGGGGUUGGAAAGAUUCGGCUGUUGGGGAUGGCUUCGCGGCUGUUCAGCUUGUUGGGUGGGUAGUGUCUUACCAAGGCUUCGACGGUUAGGCGGCCUGCGAGGGUGACCUGCCUCAUUGGGACUGAGAUACGGCCCAGACUCCUACGGGAGGCAGCAGUGGGUAAUAUUGCACAAUGGGCUGAAGCCAGAUGCAGCGCCGCCGCGAGCGCUAUGACGGCCUUCUGGUUGUAAACCGCUUUCGCCUAUGACGAAGCGUGAUUGACGGUAAUGGGUAAAGAAGCACCGGCUAACUACGUG